GUGCUCACUCACACGUUUUAGAGCUGUCUCAGCUCUGUUAUGAAGGUCUGGACGGAAUAAUCCCCGUCUAUGGAGGUCACCCAGGGCAAUGUCCUGCUUUGGUAUAAAGAACUGGAGGUGGAACAAUCCCCACCUAGGGAUACAUACUGGAACCGGAAGGAUGAUGACGGCUGUAUGAAGGAUGUACUCCACAGGUGAUGAUGUAUAAUAUAGUAGGUUUAUUAAAUAAAAAGCUGGAAACAACAGCUAUAUAAGUAAAAACAAAUAACAAACAAACUGUGGAAAAAAGUCUGACAGAAGUGGCUGCCAGUGAGGACUUAUUUUAUCCACAGUUUGUUUAUUUGUUUUUACUUAUAUAGCUGUUGUUUCCAGCUUUUUAUUUAAUAAACCUACAAUUUUAUCCAUCAUUACCUGUGGAGUACAUCCUUCAUACAGCAUGUAUCCCUAGGUGGGGAUUGUUCCACCUCCAGUUCUUUAUACCAAAGCAGGACAUUGCCCUGGGUGACCU